ensembl:lincRNA
GUGUGUGUGUGUGUGUGUGUGUGUGUGCAUGGCCUGUGACUCAGGUUUAAGCUGUUAGUCUUAUGCCAGCCUGUCACCAUGCUUCCUGUCUUGGUAACAAUGGAUUAAACAUCUGAAUUUAUGAUGAGAUGUACCAUGGCCAUGGCCUACAGGAAUCAGGCAAAAACCACAAUGGGAACCUUUGGGGAUGGACUUAAACAGACAUAUUACAGUACACUUUUCUUUCUUAAGUGUUUGUAGCUUGCUUAUUUAUACAUGCCUAGUUUUUUUUUUUCUUUUACAAAAAUACAGAUACAAUACUUAAAUGUAUAGCUUUUGUCUAUAGAAAUGAGAAUAACAGAUCUAAAUAAUAUUUAUGGCUUUUCAUAAGUCUCUUGUCCUGUGAUCUUCACAAAGUCAAAUCAUCAUUCCAGAGCUCUGAGCCUCAGCCCUUCAGUGAUGAAAAAUAAAGAUACUAAUUUCUUAUUUACUAUUCAGUCAUACAUUUCAGUGAAAAGAGAUAUUCUCUUUUGCUUUUUCCUUAACAAACAACUGAUACUCUUUUACAAACAGUUUUGACACAACUUCCUAUAUGGGUUAAUUUUAUAUUGGUAUAAUUUCUCUUAUUUUUAAAGUUAUAUUGUUAUACAUUAAAGCCAUUUACCUACCUAAAAUUUUAAUGACUUAGUUUAUUAAUCUAUUGUAGUUGCAGACCUUUUUCUUGUGUCCCUAUUCCUGAAUAAUGACUCAGAGGAUAUUUAUGUAUAAAUAAAGGUCUAAGCCAUAAGCUUAAGCUUUUUCUCCGACUAUCUCCUAACUUAUAUUACUCAUUUAUUCUAUUCAAUGUGUACCACAUACCUUUGAUACAUUUCCUCAUUUUCAUACAUCAGUCUCCUCAAAGUCCAGGGUGAAAUCUUCCCACAUCUCACUCUUUCCCCCAUAUCCGUUUUCUUUCUGAGGGAUGACCCACCUGCUAAUCCUGCCUCUGCUUAUUUGCUAUCAGAUUUUUAUUAGUAGGUGAUGCUUUGACACAGUUCAUGAGAGGUUCUUUCUAGAAUGUGUUUCAAGCAAUAUACUUCAAAAUUAAUUAUGUUUUGUUCCCUCUUAAAUAAUUCCGUGCUUUUUGUAAAGUUUUGAAGUGGUCUUCUAUUAUCUCAGCAUCAUGGACUCUAAUUCUUCAAUUAACAAAAUCAGAGAUGAAGUUAAUGAAAUAAAAACAAUACACAGAAUCAAAUAAGCUUUCUUUGAGAAGAUAAAUAAGAUUGACAGUCUCUUGGCUUAACUAACCACAAGAAAGAAAGAAGUGAUUCAAUUUAACAAAAUAAAAAACGAAUAGGGAAACAUUGUAGCAGACAUACCAAAGAGAGUAAGAAAAGCAUAAGGAAAUACUUUAAAAAACCUCUAGUCUCUUAUGCUGGAAAUAUAAAAGUAAUGGUUCAAUUUCUAGAUUCAUACAAACCAACAGAACUAAAAUAAGAAAAGGUCAUCAAUCUAAACAGACUCAUGAUGCAUGAGGGGAUUGAGACAGUAACAAAAGUCUUUCUAACUAACGAGAACAGAACCAGAUGGAUUCACAGCAUAAUUCUACCAGACUUCAAGAAGAUCUAUAGUACAUCAUUCUUAAAGCAUUCAAAGAAACAGAAGAAUCACUUCCAAACUUCCAUGAAGCCAGUAUUAAUCUUAUAGUAGAAUCAGU